rnacentral:rRNA from 1 species
GAUGAACGCUGGCGGCGUGCUUAACACAUGCAAGUCGAACGAAGUGGAUGUCUUCGGACUGAAACUUAGUGGCGGACGGGUGAGUAACGCGUGGGUAACCUGCCUCGUACAGGGGGAUAACAGUUAGAAAUGACUGCUAAUACCGCAUAACCCGCUAAGGUCGCAUGACCUGGACGGAAAAGAUUUAUCGGUACGAGAUGGACCCGCGUCUGAUUAGCUAGUUGGUGAGGUAACGGCCCACCAAGGCGACGAUCAGUAGCCGACCUGAGAGGGUGAUCGGCCACAUUGGGACUGAGACACGGCCCAAACUCCUACGGGAGGCAGCAGUGGGGAAUAUUGCACAAUGGGGGAAACCCUGAUGCAGCAACGCCGCGUGAGUGAUGAAGUAUUUCGGUAUGUAAAACUCUAUCAGCAGGGAAGAAAUUGACAGUACCUGACUAAGAAGCCCCGGCUAACUACGUG